rnacentral:rRNA from 1 species
CCUACGGGAGGCAGCAGUGAGGAAUAUUGGUCAAUGGGCGCGAGCCUGAACCAGCCAAGUAGCGUGAAGGAUGACUGCCCUACGGGUUGUAACCUUCUUUUAUAAAGGAAUAAAGUGCGGCACGUGUGCCUUUUUGUAUGGACUUUAUGAAUAAGGAUGGGCUAACUCCGUGCCAGCAGCCGGGGUAAUAAGGAGGAUCCGAAGGUUAUACGGAUUUAUUGGGUUUAAAGGGAGCGUAGAUGGGUUUUUAAGUCAGUUGUGAAAGUUUGCGGCGCAACCGUAAAAUUGCAAUUGAUACUGGCAGUCUUGAGUACAGUGGAGGUAGGCGGAAUUCGUGGUGUAGCGGUGAAAUGCUUAGAUAUCACGAAGAACUCCGAUUGCGAAGGCAGCUUACUAAACUGCCACUGACAUUGAUGCUCGAAAGUGUGGGUAUCAAACAGGAUUAGAUACCCUUGUAGUC